rnacentral:rRNA from 1 species
UACGGAGGGUGCAAGCGUUAUCCGGAUUCACUGGGUUUAAAGGGUGCGUAGGUGGGCAGGUAAGUCAGUGGUGAAAUCUUUGGGCUUAACCCGAAAACUGCCAUUGAUACUAUUUGUCUUGAAUAUUGUGGAGGUCAGCGGAAUUUGUCAUGUAGCGGUGAAAUGCUUAGAUAUGACAUAGAACACCAAUUGCGAAGGCAGCUGGCUACGCAUAUAUUGACACUGAUGCACGAAAGCGUGGGGAUCAAACAGG